rnacentral:rRNA from 1 species
UACGAAGGGGGCGAGCGUUGUUCGGAAUUACUGGGCGUAAAGGGUGCGUAGGCGGCGAACCAAGUCAGAUGUGAAAGUCCUGGGCUUAACCUGGGAACUGCAUUUGAUACUGGUUUGCUUGAAUUCGGGAGAGGAUAGCGGAAUUCCCAGUGUAGAGGUGAAAUUCGUAGAUAUUGGGAAGAACACCAGUGGCGAAGGCGGCUAUCUGGACCGACAUUGACGCUGAGGCGCGAAAGCGUGGGGAGCAAACAGG